rnacentral:rRNA from 1 species
UACGUAGGGACCAAGCGUUGUUCGGAUUUACUGGGCGUAAAGGGCGCGUAGGCGGCAAUUCAAGUCAGCUGUGAAAUCUCCGGGCUUAACUCGGAACGGUCAGCUGAUACUGCUUUGCUAGAGUGCAGAAGGGGCAAUCGGAAUUCUCGGUGUAGCGGUGAAAUGCGUAGAUAUCGAGAGGAACACCUGCGGCGAAGGCGGGUUGCUGGGCUGAUACUGACGCUGAGGCGCGAAAGCUAGGGGGAGCGAACGGG